GCAGUCGCCACGGGAAUACGUAGGGUGCAAGCGUUAAUCGGAAUCACUGGGCGUAAAGCGUGCGCAGGCGGUUCGUUAAGACAGAUGUGAAAUCCCCGGGCUUAACCUGGGAACUGCAUUUGUGACUGGCGGGCUAGAGUAUGGCAGAGGAGGGUAGAAUUCCACGUGUAGCAGUGAAAUGCGUAGAUAUGUGGAGGAAUACCGAUGGCGAAGGCAGCCCCCUGGGAUAACACUGACGCUCAUGCACGAAAGCGUGGGGAGCAAACAGGAUUAGAUACCCCGGUAGUCCCUGUCUCUUAUAC
rnacentral:rRNA from 1 species